rnacentral:piRNA from 1 species
GGAAACUUUGACAUAGGCUGAUAAUA